UCGACUAGCGAGCUGGCGGUAGUGUUGAAAUGAUCUAGACUACUAGACGUUUCUCCCGUUUUCCUUUUACUCACGAUCUCAGGCGGAUGUUAAAACGCUCUGUAACACCAUCUUGUCUCGUCUGCUUCGUCACUAGUAAUGACUGAAUGUCCUCAGACGUCGCCGCCUCCCCAAUCCUCUUUCUAUCUAUCUGUUCCCCUAGAGGAAAAACGCAGCAGUGAUAGCUGAAGUGCACGCAGUUAGAGCACGUAGGCUAAAUAUCAUUUUGUCUCCUCGAAAGAUACCAAUUUUCAAUGUUGCGGGAGAAUGGGACAUAGAUCCUAUUGCAGUGCCAUAUCAUCUGUCUGCUGCUACACCGCCAAACGCGCGUCACACAGACAACAUAGAACGCUGCGGAUGAGGAAAUGAUGAACGUGCGGAAGAGAAGGACUGCAUCGUUGCACUGGAGAGCAGUUCUGUAUGGACACAACCUAGCGAAGAAAAGCUUUUAACAAGUCAUUAUGAAGACCACGUGUGAGACUUUCAAAAACUAGCACAUAUCCAGCGGUCCUAUUCCCCAUCUGCUGAUGACCAGGCGAAUGGUGGGCCUUUUUAUGCGAAUACUAUGGAAAGAGACGAGGGGAGCAACUCGUCAACGUCCUGCUUGAUUUCAACCAAGCAUUUGUAACCUUGGAUGAGAGAGACACAACCAGCUAUAAACUUGAGAACCAUUAAUGUCAGGGAAUCAGGUACAGCAUUGGUGAAGGAAGUUCUCUAAAAAGAGUUAGGAAUGGUAAUUGUUCUAACAGUAAAUGGGUGCGGGCAGCAUUCACCUCCUCCCAGCUGCUUGAGUUAGAGAAGGAGUUUCACUUCAGCACUUAACUGUGUAACCCAUGCUGGCUUGAAAUGGCUGUGCUCCUGAAGCUUACUGACCGCCAGAUUAAGAUCUGGUUCCAAAAUCAUCGUAUGAAGUACAAGAAAUACCACAAGGACAGGCCAGAGGCAAAGUCCUACUCCUACUCAUGCAAGGACAUAGAUAACCAGCCCUCUGUGAUGAGUGGCAGUGAUGCACCAGUGCCAUCAAAAUAUAUCUACGAGAGAUCACAUAUGUCCAUUAUAAACUGUUCUCAGAGCCACUGGUGAAACUACAACAAUUCAACCAACCAGCGACUGACUUCAGCUUUCUGCUGUGCUUCUCUUGUGUGAUGUCUAUGCUACAGACAAAAAGUCCUAAUUCAGAACUAAAAUAUGUAUGAUUCACACAUGACCUCUGUCAACUGUAAAUGUCUUCUGACAGCAUGAAUUCUAUAAGAAUGAAAUUCCAAAUUCUUAUACCGCCACAGCAUGUACAUGUUCUGAUGCUGGUCUAUUAUUGCUCCCAAUGUAACUCUCUCUGACAUUAUGUUCAUAAGUCAAAAUGUAAUGCCCGCACAGGCUUUUUUCAGGAAAAGUUAACCUGGAAGAGUUGGCAAAGGACCAGAUUGCAUGUUAUCAGCCAGUACAUGGUACAACAGUGUUCGUUUCCAUUGUGCAUAAACUACAAGAGUUAAAUCUCUGCAAUUUAUUCAAGAUUUAUUACACAUGGAUGCAAGUUUAUCUCCUGGGCACAGAAAGUACAAUUUAAAAGGGCAUUCAUGACUUCAAAUGGCCAUUAACAGAGCAUGAAAAUCCUCUCAACUUUUUCCCAGUGUCUGCCUCCUCUGUUUCCAGCCAAACCACAUGGACCUGCUGGUGGUGAUGCUUUGCUGGGUGCCUGAUGUGUGUUUCUCCCUGUGUGUCCUUCAAUUCCGCUCUGCGAGCCAUCCACAGACCUUUCCUACUAUACUGCUUGCUGAAUUCAUUGUCUGCUUCAUUCAGUUUUGAUCACCUGCAUUUGAGUCCUGCGUCUCAAUACCCUGACAGAUAAACCAGCCAGGAUGGACUCAGUAGGUUCCAACCCAAUCCAAGCCACACUCAUUCAGCAGGCGGAAUUGCUGGAACAACAUUCCGAGCUACUGGCUGAAUCCCAUGAGGCAUGAAAGUCGGUGGUGGUCAAGCUGUCCGAGCUCUCCACCCAGGUAGAGGAGCUUCGCCUUUCUCCCAUUGCGACAGCACCCUUCUCCAUUACGUCAUUGUCAAGUCUGGAACAACCCGCCACGCUCGCCAGGGAACCCCGCCUCAAUGCACCGGCUCCUUGCUCCGGUGAGCCAGAUCGAUGUCGUGCAUUCAUGUCACAUUGCUUCCUGGUCUUCAUGCUUCAGCCCUCUUCCUUCCUGACCGAGGCAUCCAGGGUGGCUUAUGUGAUCAUGCACCUAGUGGGGUGGGCUCGUGACUGGGGAACGGCUGUUUGGGAGAAUAAGUUGCUGUGCUGUGAGUCAUUCCAGGCCUUUUCAGAAGAAUUGAGAAAGGUUUUUGACCGUGCGGCUCAUGGUAAGGAGGCGGCUCGGUGGUUGACUGAGCUUCGACAGGGAGUUUAUUCCAUCGAAAUUCAGGACACUUGCUGCCACCAGCGGAUGGAAUGAGAAAGCCCAAUGGGAUGUGUUCUCCGGUGGUCUGUCCGAGGCUAUAAAAGAUGCUGUUUAUACUCUGGAGUUACCCAGUGGCCUUGAUGACCUCAUCAGCCUAGCCAUAAGGGUGGACCAUCGCCUUGCACACUGAGAUGGCUUGCACACUGAGACGCUUGCGUCCUGUCUUCACACCACCCACCCAAGAACCCUUCUUCUUGUUGACAGCCGUAACGGAGCAAGAGCCCAUGCAACUUGGGCAUACCCUGUUGCCUCAAUGGGAGAGGGACCGCCGGUGUCUAUUGGGGUUAUAUGAAUACUGCGGGGGAGAGGGGCACAUCGCUUCAAACUGCCUAGUAAAAGCCAGGCACUCACCAGAGACCAGGGGAUGAGUGCCACCAUCUCUAAUAAGUCCCCCAUGCUCCAUAAACCUCUUACUGCCAUCGUUGUCUAGGGUCAAGUGCUUUGCCGGGUGUCAUUACUCGUUGACUCUGGAGCAAAAGCUAACUUAUUGGACCUGGCCGUCACCUGGGGUGUUCCUGUGGUGCCAGUAGACCCGCCUAUUAACAUCUGCUCCCUCAGUGGCUCUUCUAUGGGCCAGAUUACUAGAACCAGAGUCCCGGUGAGUCUGAGGAUUUCUAGUAAUCAUGAGGAAGAUGUUUUAUCUACUACAGACUCCUUCUAACCCAGUAGUUUUGGGUCAUCCGUGGUUGAUAAAACACAAUCCACGCAUAGACUGGCUGGCAGUAUUGUUACUAAAUUGGGAGCCUUUUGUUCUUCCCACUUCCCAUCUGUGCUGUCGUCUGAAUCUCCCUCUGUUUGUGUGUUUCAGGAGGAGGUGGUCAAACUGUUCGGUAGUUCCGGCAGUUUAUCAUGAUCUGAGGGCAGUCUUCAGUAGAUCACGGGCCACAUCACUGCCACCGUGUUGCCCGUACGACUGUGUUAUUGAUCUUUUCCCAGGCACUUCUCCACCUCACGAGUGACUUUUCUCUCUCUCUGCUCCAGAGCGUGGGGCUAUGGAGAAAUACAUAAGUUAGUUGCUAGCAGCCGGCCUCAUCCACCCUUCUUCCCCAGCUAGUGCGGAUUAUUCUUUGUGAGUAAAAAGGACAGUUCUUUGUGCCCCUGUAUUGAUUAUCGGGGGAUGAAUGACUUCACUAUUAAGAACAGGUAUCCGUUACCUCUGAUGUCUUCAGCCUCCGAGUUACUGCAGGGGGUGACCGUUUUCACAAAGUUGGACCUCCGCAACACAUACCAUCUUGUGAGGAUCAGGAAGGGGGAUGAGUGGAAGUUAGCUUUCAACACCCCCACAGGGCACUUUGAAUACUUGGUGAGCCGUUCGGCCUCACCAACGCCCCAGCUUUCUUUCAGGAGCUUGUUAACGACGUUCUCCGGGACAUGAUUAACAAGUUUGUCUUCGUUUACCUGAACGACAUCUUGAUUUUUUCUCCAUCUCUUUAUGUACACAUGGGGCAUGUCAGGCGGGUGCUGCAGAGGCUGCUAGAGAACAAGCUCUUCAUGAAGGCAGAGAAGUGUGCAUUCCAUGCACAGUCGGUUCUGUUCCUGGGGUACGUCCUGUUGUCUGAGGGUGUGCGCAUGGACUCUUCCAAGGUGAGAACUGUCACCAAUUGGCCAAUCCCAGAUUCCCGCAAAGCUUUGCAGAGGUUUCUGGGAUUCGUCAAUUUCUACAGGCAUUUCAUACGCAAUUUUAGCCAAGUAGCUGCCCCUCUUUCGGGUCUGACCUCCACCAACACCAAGUUUUUUUGGCCACUGGUUGGAGGGGGCAGGUACACUCUUUCUGCUGUGGACUGACCACAAAAAUCUUGAGCGCAUUAGGUUGGCCAAGAGAUUAAAUUCUCGGCAGAUCCUUUUGGGCUCUUUUUUUCGGUAGGUUCAACUUCACUAUAUCCUACUGACCAGGGUCCAAAAACGUCAAACUGGACACACUCUCCCGUCAGUUUGAAGCCUCUGGUUGCUCUUAUCCUCCAGACACAGUCAUUCCUCGGCACCGGGUGGUGGCUGCUGUGUCUUGGGAGGUCGAAUCAGAGGUGUGGAGGAUGCUUCGAGGAGUGACUGCCCCGGAGGGAGUUCCAGCGGGUCGGUUAUUUGUGCCACAGUCAGUCCAUCUCUCCAUCCUGCAGUGGGGUCAUCCUACCAAUGUGGCCUGCCAUCCAGGUGUGAGACAUUCUGAGGCUGUUAUUCAGCAGCGUUUCUGAUGGCCCACAAUGGGGUGGGAUGUACAACAUUUCAUGUUGGCCUGUCCCAUCUGUGCUCAUGGUAAACAAUCUAACCGCCCACCAGCGGGGCUGUUAAAGCCUCUGUCUGUGCCUUUGAAACCCUGGUCGCACAUCGCGCUCGACUUCGUCACGGGGCUACCCGCCUUCCGUGGCUUUAUGGAUGUUUUGAUGGUGGUGGACAGGUUUUCGAUGGCUUCCACUUUAUUCCGUUUCCUGGACUCCCCUCAGCUCAUGGGACAGCGACCGCUGUCGUGGAUCACAUCUUUCAGAUUCAUGGCAUUCCGACGAUGUGGUUUCCGACAGGGGUCCCCAGUUUGUGUCCCGGUUCUGGAGGGAGGCUGGGGGCUUCGGUUAGUUUGUCAUCUGGGUGUCACCCCCAGUCCAACGGCCAGACGGAGUGGGCUAACCAAAGUCUAGAGGGGUUGCUUCGUUGUGUGGCCACUAGGAACCCCUCAUCCUGGAGAGAACAGCUUACAUGGGUUGAGUAUGCUUACAACUCACAGCCGGCGUCGUCUAUGGGCCUCUCCCCAUUUCAGUGCUACAUCGGGUCCAAUUACCACUAUUCCCCGAGCUCGAACCCGACGUAGCGGUGCCCUUGGUCCAUGCGUUUCUAUCACAUUGUCGCUGUGUUUGGAGAUUGGCUAGAUGGGCGCUUCUCAGGGCCGGGAGACAUAUCAAGGCUCAGCAUCUCUGAGGUAUAUGAUCAGCCAGAAGGUCUGGCUGUCCGCCAAAGAUAUACCACUCAAAGUGUCCUCUCAUAAACUCUCUCCCAGAUUUAUUGGCCCUUUUUUGGUGGCUUAGGUGCUCAGUCUGGUUUUUGUCCACCUAAAGCUGCCCCAUGCCUUGCGAGGCAUACACCCGGUCUUCCAUGUCUCCAAAGUCAAACCAGUCUUGCGAUCCCCAUUUCAGACCACCAAUGCUCCGGGACCCCCCCCCCCCAGACUUAUUGAUGGGGCCUGGCUUAUACGGUCAGUCGAUUACUGGACAUCAGGCGGGGGCAUCAGUAUUUGAUUGAUUGGGAGGGGUAUGGUCCGGAGGAGAGAAGUUGGGUACCUGUGUCUUGUUUGUCCACGUGUAUUUCUUUCCCCUCCGCUCGCCAGUUUGUUGCUGGUUUAUCUCCACACUGCAUCAUUUUGUGUCUAAAUAUAGUUAAUAUUAUUGAGCAAUCUCCUGCUCUCUGUUUAUUCUGUCUACUCUGUCGGCGAUAGUUCGCUUCUUGUAUUUAUUUUUGUCCUUUUUAUUUUUUAUUUACACUGUUCUCCUCUCUGCUGAUAGCCCAGUGUCUGCCUCCUCUGUUUCCAGCCAGACCCCGUAGACCUGCUGGUGGUGAUGCUUCACUGGGUGCCUGGUGUGUGUUCUCUCCCUGGGUGUCCUUCCAUUCCGCUCCGUGAGCCAUCCACAGACCUUUCCUACUAUACUGCUUACUCUGAGUUUCAUUGACUGUUUCAUAAAAUUUUGAUCACCUGCAUUUUAGUGCUGCAUCUCAAUACUCUGACAACCCUUGCAUUUAAAAUGUACAUUGAUUAUAUCUUACCUAUGCAGUCAUUACUUUCAUGCACAUGGAAAUGUAGAGCUGGAAUUAUUUAUAUUGCUAUUUAUUGUCAUCUUUAUUUAAUUUACAUGAUUAGUGAUCAGAAUCUUAUUAAAAGCAUGCAUGAGAACAAGUGCACAGCUGAAAAGGUGUUGCUGCAAACUAAUUGAAGUCCUCUGGUUAGUAAAUAAAGGUGCAAUGCAUGUAAAUAAUC